UACAAUGGGAAGAUGGGGGAGGCAGCACACUGGGGUCAGGAGUGGAGAUACUUAGGCUCCCCAGAGAAAUUAGUCACAAGUCUUAUCCCUUCAUCUCCAUUUACAGCCAUUUAUUUGGGAGCAACAUACUUUAAAUGAGUGAUAAACAAAAUGUCUCCCCACAGCCCCCACCCCAGCAUGUGUUCUGAAGUUCACAGGAAGGCUUCUCCUCAUUUGCUUUGGGGCCCGCAGGCUGCCUGCUAACAGCUGGGUCUUCCCAUGAACAAAUUAGACAGUUAAUGUUCCAGGAUGAAGAGGGCUUCGGGGAACAGAAUCUGCCGUUUAUUUGACUUGCUUCAUUAGACACAGUGCCAUCAUACCAAAAUUAGAAAAAAGAAGGAACUCAGCGGAAAUCAGCUACACAAGAAGAACCUCUCAGUUCUGAGAAUUCACAUUAACCAGUGAUUAAGAAAUAUUAAAAAGGUAUAGUUCUUGGCUGUGCUGAGGAUCUGUAAGGCACCAGAUGUGAAAGUAAGGAAGAAAGAUGGAUGUGGAAGAAAGUCACUGCCCAGAGAAUAAGGAGACCUGGAUUCUAAUCUCAGCUCUGCCAUUAACUAGCUAUGAAACUAUGGCUCAAAAGGGAAUAAGAGAUCAAGGCAAGCAUGGACAUCUUGUACGUGGAAGUGCAGACCAGAACUUGUAUCACAGCCAGUCAUAUCUGGUGCUUUCCAUGCUACUUUUACAUACAUGUUGCCAGUAAUGAUGUUUCUGGUGAUCUGGCUCAGAAGGCUGAGCUGAUGAGUGAUCACUCAGAAAUACUGAAUCAGGCAAUGGAAAUUCUGAAUCGGUGGGCUCUGGAGAAGGAACUGAGGGCGAGGUGACUCGGGGCCGGAGGGCUAUUAUGGACUAUGGACAAGCUGAAGGCAUGGGAAGCCUGACCAGUAGAUAGAGGAAUAUGAACUUGGUGGACAGGGAAAAGCAGGGACGUCAUGAACGAAAGACCACAGACCCUCUGUUCUAGUCCAUGGGGCCAGGCUGUGCUCCACUGCCUACUCUUGGAUUCCCCAAAGAAUGCUUUAUGUCCUUAUAAUAAAUCCACCUUUCCAUGGACAAAAA
rnacentral:lncRNA from 1 species